rnacentral:rRNA from 1 species
UACGGAAGGCAGCAGUGGGGAAUAUUGGACAAUGGGCGAAAGCCUGAUCCAGCCAUGCCGCAUGAGUGAAGAAGGCCUUCGGGUUGUAAAGCUCUUUUAGUGAGAAAGAUAAUGACGGUACUCACAGAAGAAGUCCUGGCUAACUCCGUGCCAGCAGCCGCGGUAAUACGGAGAGGGCUAGCGUUAUUCGGAAUUACUGGGCAUAAAGGGCACGCAGGCGGUUAAUUAAGUUGGAUGUGAAAUCCCCGGGCUUAACCUGGGAAUGGCAUUCAAGACUGGUUAGCUAGAGUCUUGUAGAGGGGGUAGAAUUCCAUGUGUAGCGGUGAAAUGCGUAGAGAUGUGGAGGAAUACCGGUGGCGAAGGCGGCCCCUGGACAAAGCUGACGCUCAUGUGCGAAAGCGUGGGGAGCAAACAGGGAUUAGAUACC